CCUAAAGUAACUCCUGCUCAGUGACCCCAAACAGCGGCAGAGAUUUUAUGACUGUGCUAAGGAAGCAUAAUCACUUGUCUUUUAAUUAAAGAAUAGAAUGAACGGAAAAACGAAUCUUAGACUGUCUCAUAUUUACCUAAUAAAUUUACUAUAAAAGUAAAAACACUUUUUUUUAAAAAAAAGACGAUAAGACCCUAAAGAACUUUACUAAAGUUAAGCUGGGGCGGCUUUUUAAAAAAAUCUUAACACAAUUACACUUAACCUAAUUUUAAACUCAACGUUACCUUAGGGAUAACAGCAUAAUUUAAUUUUACAGCUCUUAUUAAAAAUUAAGAUUAUGACCUCGAUGUUGAAUUAAAAUUCUACUAAACGAAAAAAAUUAGUGAGAAAGUCUGUUCGACUUUUAAAUAUUUACAUGAUUUGAGUUCAGACCGGUGUAAGCCAGGUCGGUUUCUAUCUUUUUUAAAGAUGUAUCAGUACGAAAGGACCAUAUGACUUACUAUAAAU
rnacentral:rRNA from 1 species